ensembl:snRNA U6 U6 spliceosomal RNA
GUGUUAGUUCGCUAACACAUAUACUAAAAUUGGAACGAUACAGAGAAGAUUAGCAUGGCCCCCUGCGCAAGGAUGACACGCAAACUCGUGAAGCGUUCCUCAUUUUC